rnacentral:tRNA from 1 species
AUAGGUGUAGCUCAGUGGUUGAGUGCCUGCUUCGCAUGCAUGAGGUCCUGGGUUCAAUCCCCAGUACCUCUA